rnacentral:rRNA from 1 species
UACGUAGGGACCAAGCGUUGUUCGGAUUUACUGGGCGUAAAGGGCGCGUAGGCGGCGUGACAAGUCACUUGUGAAAUCUCUGAGCUUAACUCAGAACGGCCAAGUGAAACUGUUGUGCUAGAGUGCAGAAGGGCAAUCGGAAUUCUUGGUGUAGCGGUGAAAUGCGUAGAUAUCUGGAGGAACAUCGGUGGCGAAGGCGGCAUCCUGGACCGGUAUUGACGCUGAGGCGCGAAAGCCAGGGGAGCAAAGCGGG